rnacentral:rRNA from 1 species
UACGUAGGGGCAAGCGUUGUCCGGAUUUAUUGGGCGUAAAGCGCUCGCAGGUGGUUCAUUGCGUCGUGCGUGAAAGACCCCGGCUCAACUGGGGAGGGUCGUGCGAAACGGGUGAACUAGAGGCCAGUAGGGGGAUGCGGAAUUCCGGGUGUAGUGGUGGAAUGCGUAGAGAUCCGGAGGAACACCAGCGGCGAAGGCGGCAUCCUGGACUGGUCCUGACACUCAGGAGCGAAAGCGUGGGGAGCGACAGG